rnacentral:rRNA from 1 species
CACGUAGUUAGCCGGGGCCUCUUGGUCGGGUACCGUCUUUCUUCUUCCCCGCUGACAGGGCUUUACGCGCCGAAACGCUCCUUCACCCACGCGGCGUUGCUGCAUCAGGGUUUCCCCCAUUGUGCAAUAUUCCCCACUGCUGCCUCCCGUAGGAGUUUGGGCCGUGUCUCAGUCCCAAUGUGGCCGUCCGCCCUCUCAGGCCGGCUACCGAUCGUCGCUUUGGUGGGCCGUUACCCCGCCAACUGGCUAAUCGGGCGCGGGCCCAUCCCGUGCCGCCGGAGCUUUCCGCAUACACCCAUGCGGCUGUAUGCGCUUAUGCGGUAUUAGCGCCUGUUUCCAGGCGGUAUCCCCCGGCACGGGGCAGGUUGCCCACGCGUUACUCACCCGUCCGCCACUAAGUAUAUAACCUUCCAUCCGUAAACUUCCGCUUAUAUACCCCGUUCGACUUGCAUGUGUUAGGCACGCCGCCAGCGUUCAUCCUGAGCCAGGAUCAAACUCU